AUGCUAAGAGAAUGGAAUUCCAGGGAAAAACUUUAUUUAAACUAAUAAUUAAAGUUUUUUUAAUUUGUGCAGAAACAAUUAUAUAAAUUAAGGACAAGAAGACCCUAUGAAUUUAUAAAACUUAUUUUUUUUAUUAAUAUAACUAAUAAGUUUUAGCUGGGGCGGCAAGAAAAUAUAAAAAACUUUUCAUUAUUAAAAUGACCCAUUAUUAAUGAUUAAAUGAAAAAAUACUCUAGGGAUAACAGCGUUAUAUUUUUUGAUAGAUCAUAUUGACAAAAAAGUUUGCGACCUCGAUGUUGGAUUAGGAUA
rnacentral:rRNA from 1 species